AAGGCUGUAGCUCACUGGAAGAGCAUCUGCCUGGCCUGCAGAGGGUCCUAGGUUCAAAUCCUGUUGGCCUCU